ensembl:lncRNA
CAAGGAGUAGCAUAAAAAGGAAAAUAUCUGGCUGGGUAUAUGAGCACAGUUCUUGAAGGAUUCAUCUUGGGGACGGAUCUUAUUUAAUAUCUUCAUGAAUGACCUUGGCACAAAACACAGCAUGUUGCUGAAGCCUGCUGAUGACACAAAGUUGGGAGGCGUGCCAUACGGAAAGAACUGGAUGACCUUGAAGACCGAAGUAAUAGAAACGAGACGAAAUCCAGUAGUGCAAAAUGCAAAGUCAUGAGUUUAGGGAGUAGUAAGAAUUUCCACUAUAAACCGGAGGCUCAUCAGCUGUAAAUGACAAAGGAGAAGAAACACAUGUGUGGAUCGCUCAGUCACAGGAUGAGGCUCUGGGAAAGUUUCUCCCGAGUGAAGGACCUACCAGAAGCCUCUCUUGGAAAAGUUAAAGAGACGCUAAUUAAAAGAAUACAGUAUGUCCCUGAUGAGGGACUGUUGACAAAGACCUGACUCCACGAGUCAUUGGAGCAGCUCCUUACCAAGAUGCAAGAUGUAACAGAUCUGAUCUGGAAAUCACCUUAAUUGCUGAAAGACCACCACUUCCCUCCAAGAGACACAACAGACCAUAAGGACCACAGAUUUUUUUCUUAAAGUGAUAUUGCCGGAUAGAGCAGCACAUCAGGAGCUUGGGUUUUGCAUAACACCAGGGAAGAUUCACAGGAAAAUCACAGGAGUUGGCAACAGAGAGCUUUUCCUUCGGAACGGGCUGGCACGGCUCGACGCACAGAUGUUCCAAAGAGCAGCUCCUUCGCUGGUGCAACUCCAGCUUCACCGGUGCCAGGGGAUGGAUGCGAGUUGAGAGCUGCUGUGGAUCUGCCACCCUCAGGUUUUAAGGAGCAUGGAGGAGCACUGAGCUGGUUUGGUGCCUCACUAGAGACAUGUGCCAGCUAGUGAGCACCUUCUCUGGGAGCCGCCCUCUGUGUGAUGGGCAAAAGGGAAGCUGAACGCCUUCCUCCCUGCUCUUCAUCACUUUGGGGGUGCUGGUGCACAAUGGAAAGCCCCAGGACUUUUGUUCAGUGCAACCAUCCAAGGAAGGAGGGAAAGAUUUCAGCAUGGAAAACUUGUGCCUUUCCACCAGCUUUUGCAUCCGAACCAGCACAGCUUGUGUCUGCUCUACUGAGUCAGGCUCUCAGGGCACCUGGAAAGGAAAACUGGCUUUGGAGACAAAGGUCCCGCCUUGCUUUUAGGAGGGGACAGUGGGAGCCUGGGGCUCCCUCUAUUUUGGGGACAGGGUGGCUACUGUGCUACAAAGACUGCCUUCUGCAUCUCCCCUGCUGAAAUCUCACAUCACAGUGCUUCCCGGGGUCAGCCUGACAGCAUCCAUCCCAUCGGCGCACAGAAAGUGCGGAUUUUGGAGAGGGGAACAUAAUUUUAAAGUUGGCCUGAGAAACCUCCAUCUAGUUUUCAGGGUUCCAGAAUGUUGUUUUAUUAGGAUUACAGUCUUGUUCUUCUUAGGUUUCAGCAGGCGUUUAUGACUGUUACAACAGGAAUGAAAAGCUGGGGCUGGAAUCGGCAUUGCUUUCUCCUGCCAGGCGCAGGGUUCACGGUAGAGGCCAGACAUAUGUCUUUCUCCCACAGAUGCUACUUUUUUUCUGGAUGAGGAGGUGAGCUCCAGCCUCUCCCUGGAAGAGAGGGCUGGCAGCAGCGCUGAGCUGAGAUGUGGGGUCUGCACAGGGGCCCAUUGGCUGAAGGUAAUUGCUGUGUCGGUUCAUGUUGUUCUCCUCUGUCCUUUGCAAAAAGGAGAGACCAAGUCCCACGGGCUUGUCUGUGUCUGUCACUGGAGGCUUGUGUUGCUCCUGUCUCCUUUCUCUCAUGCCCCAUGGACAUCUUUCUAGGUUGGCAGAGGGGCUCGGUGAAGGAGAAGUAGUCUGCGCCUACAGACUUCCCUCCCCUUUUUGUCUUGUUUUCCUUUCUUUCCUUUCUUUUCUUUUCUUUUUUUUUUCCAGCAUGCAUUAUUCCAGACCUGAUAUAAUUCACCUAUCUGUAUUUGUCCCCAUGCAAGUCAAAACUCCUCCUUGAGGGCACCUGAACUGGAGUCACAUUCCCCACCUUUGCAGAGCCCAUGUUGUCUGCCUCUGGGAGGCAGUGGCAGGAAGAAGGAGGAGUUCAGCCUACCCAAACCAUCCUGCACGGGGUGAAGAACUCAGCCCUCCUCUAGGGCGAUCCCUGGCUAUGGGACAGUUGGACCCUCUGCGCAGUAAUAAUUAGCAGACAAAUCCUGCUGACUCGGGAAACUCAUCUAAGGGUUUGUUUGUGUGUUUGUUGUUUUUAUGAGAAGGUCCAUAUGCCUUUCAGAUUUUGUUAUUUUCAGAGUUGAUGAUCUGAGGAACAGAAUGAAGAGUUGACAUUGUUGGUUGUUUUCUUGGCCUGUUUUAUACAGCAGAUGUAUUUGGGUAGAAGGGCUACAGCUCGUUACUUUAUUUAUUCUGGUGGAGUUUUGUUGCAAAGACAAUAGGUCAGAUCAUGACACGGGAAGAAAAAAGAUAGCCUUGGAACUGGUGGGUGCUGUUCAUCUACCAGUGUUCCCUUCACACACUGGAUAGAAUCCAAGAGGUAAUAUGGGAAUUUCUGAAUGUACUUAAAGUUUAUGAGACUGCCUGCCUGAAUGCCUGCAUGUGUGUGGAAUGGAACAAGGAUCCCCAGCAUAAUAUUUAAUCAAAAUCCAGUUUUACCAGUGAUAUAAGGCAGAUAAAGCACUGAGUACAGUCCUCAGGAUCUGCCCUGUGUAUGACAUCAUACCUGUCCUUCAGCUUAUGCACUGUGUAUGGCAUACACAGUAUCUGCCGAUACACAUGGUGUGGGAUUCACCCUGAAACCCUGAAUGUGCCUUGGAUUUUCCAAGUCAGAGUCUUGUUUUAAAUCUUGCCUCAUAAUGUAAUUUGAUGGUCGCAGGAGCAGUUCUAGCUCAAUGCUGAUUUCUUUCUAGGGUAUGAAAAUCCUCUCUAACAUACUGUGCCUUUUGAAUCUGAUUCUUACUUGGAAACGUGUGCUCACUUCAGUGUAUAAGAAAUGGGCAAUGGAGUUUGAGCCACAACUUUAUCAGCAGAGGGCACAGAUAUCUCAGUGUUUGCUGAAUCGUGCACCUUCCUUCAGCACUCUCUUCCUGCUGAAUAGCCCACAUCUAGUGUUGUUUUUACCAGGUUUUUCAGAUUAGGACUCUCUCCCUUUUGC